rnacentral:tRNA from 1 species
GGGGCCGUAGCUCAGUUGGGAGAGCGCGUCGCUCGCAUUGACGAGGUCAGGGGUUCGAUUCCCCUCGGCUCCA